UGCUAGGGUAACCGGGGUGGUUGCUAGGGCGGUUGCUAUGGUAACCUGGGUGGUUGCUAGGCAGUUGCUACGGUACUUGGGGCGGUUGCUAAGGUGUUGCUAGGCGGUUGCUAGGGUGUUUUGGCUGGUUGCUAGGCAGUUGCUAUGGUCUCCUGGGUGGUUGCUAUGAUGUUACUAGGUGGUUGGUAGUUGUCACAGAUGGUCACUAUGUAGUUAUUAUAGAGUUCUUAGCCCAUUUGAGCACUUAGCUAAUCACUAUUAGCAUGUAGCUAAUCACUGCUAGCAUGACUAGCAUGUUGGAAGUCCAGUGUGCUAGCAUGAGUCAAAAAAUCCAACCGCCAUGUCUGUACGAUGUUCUGAUGCAGAGAUAUAGGUCGUGCAAAACGGUUGCUAGGGUACUCCAUUUGGUUGCUAUGGAGUGGCUUUGCAGCUGCCAAUGGUGAUACUCCAAAGGCUGCUCGUCAAUAUAAACCAACCCCCAUGCCUCUACGAUGUUCUGAUGCAGAGAUAUAGAUCUUGCAAAACGGUUGCUAGGGUACUGUGUUUGGUUGCUAGGGAGUGGCCUUGCAGCUGCCAAUGAUGAUACUUCAAAGUCUGCUUGACAAUAUAAACCAACCCCCAUGCUUCUAUGUCUUUCAGAUGUUAAGAUAUCUAUCUUUGGAUUUUGGUUGCUAGGUAGCUCUUAAUGGUUGCUAGGGCGUGGCUAGGUUGUCUUGAAGGAGAUACAUGAUUGGCCGUUUGCUGCCCGAGUCAAACGAGCCCACCCUCAUGUUCCUAUGACACUUCUAUCCAAAGUUAUUCAUUUGAACUUUUUCAAUGGAAGUCUAUGGGGCUUGUUGCUAUGGUGCUCUAUAUGGUUGCUAGGGCGUGGCUUGAUAGAUUCACAGUGAUCCUGAGAGACUGAUUGGUUGCCUGAUUCAAAUGAGCCCGCCCCCUUGUCUCUAUGACUAUGUGAUCCAUAGUUAUGUUCAAUGCAAAAUCCCUAUGUAAUUUCCCACAGUAGGAAAAACACAUUGUUUCAUGGGCGAUCCCUCCCCAUUGACUUAGUAUGGGGCAACUUUGGGGGGCUCUUGCGCCCCAGGGGUCCAACUUAUACCCCAUUGCGGGGUAUGAUCGCGCACAGCCUGAUAGCCUCUCCAAAUGUGUCGAUUCACAUGUUUCUGCGAAAUUCUCUCUCGGAGCUACGAUCCGUCAAAGUUGGCCGUAAUGCAUUGUCUAUGCGAUUUUUCGGCCGUUUUUUCGCCCGGUGUACGAACAUCGUACGCCCGAUCGCUUAUAAAAGUCAUAGCACACCAUUCCCGAUUAGGCCGCACGAUUUGACGCCUGUUUCGUUGGUCUGUGUCAAAAACUGCGGGACAAGUUACGCGCCGAAAUUUUGGCGGAAGAAGAAUAAGAAUAACUAGAAGGUACAUUUCCUGAAGAAAAUGUGAGUGGUGCUUGCAGUGGCAAAACUCUGCGCCCUGUAGCCACCCAUGAUGCCUGUGUGAUGUUUUGAAGCAGAGAUAGAAGGAUUUAUAUUGCUACAUGGUUGCUAGGGUGCUCUAUAUGGUCGCUAUGGUGUGACUAUAUAGUUUAUGGGGUGAUAUUUAAAGAUUAUUUACCAGCCUGAAUGCAAAAAGCCCAAGCCAGUGUUUCUAUAUAGUUAUUUUUGCUGAGAUACAGCUUUUAAAUGUAGUUAAACAGUUGCUAGGGGGCUAAAAUUGGUUGCUAGGGCAUGGAUAUGAAGUUGUUAUGUCACUACUUAUGGACUGCUUGAUAGGCCGAGUCAAAAGAGCCCUCUCCCAAGCCUCUAUGACUUUCUGAUCCAAAGAUAUGAUGUCAGAUAGUUUUUCCAAUGUUAAGUCAAUGGGAUAUUUUCGCACAUUUUCUUCGCCCGCUGUACGAUUAUCGUAAGUCCGAUUGCUUAGAAAAGUCAUAGCACACCUCUCCUCAAUAUCCCGCACGAUUUGACACCUCAUUCAUGGGUCUGUGACAAAAAAUGCGGGAGGAGUAGCGUGCCAAAGUUUUGUCAAGGCGAAUAGUAAUAGUAACACUAGAAGGUACAUUUCCUGAAGAAAAUGUGAGUGGUGCUUGCAGUGGCAAAACUCUGCGCCCUGUAGCCACCCAUGAUGCCUGUGUGAUGUUUUGAAGCAGAGAUAGAAGGAUUUAUAUUGCUACAUGGUUGCUAGGGUGCUCUAUAUGGUUGCUAUGGUGUGACUAUAUAGUUUAUGGGGUGAUAUUUAAAGAUUAUUUACCAGCCUGAAUGCAAAAAGCCCAAGCCAGUGUUUCUAUAUAGUUAUUUUUGCUGAGAUACAGCUUUUAAAUGUGGUUAAACAGUUGCUAGGGGGCUAAAAUUGGUUGCUAGGGCAUGGAUAUGAAGUUGUUAUGUCACUACUUAUGGACUGCUUGAUAGGCCGAGUCAAAAGAGUCCUCUCCCAAGCCUCUAUGACUUUCUGAUCCAAAGAUAUGAUGUCAGAUAGUUUUUCCUAUGUUAAGUCAAUGGGAUAUUUUCACACAUUUUCUUCGCCCGCUGUACGAUUAUCGUAAGUCCGAUUGCUUAGAAAAGUCAUAGCACACCUCUCCUCAAUAUCCCGCACGAUUUGACACCUCAUUCAUGGGUCUGUGACAAAAAAUGCGGGAGGAGUAGCGUGCCAAAGUUUUGUCAAGGCGAAUAGUAAUAGUAACACUAGAAGGUACAUUUCCUGAAGAAAAUGUGAGUGGUGCUUGCAGUGGCAAAACUCUGCGCCCUGUAGCCACCCAUGAUGCCUGUGUGAUGUUUUGAAGCAGAGAUAGAAGGAUUUAUAUUGCUACAUGGUUGCUAGGGUGCUCUAUAUGGUCGCUAUGGUGUGACUAUAUAGUUUAUGGGGUGAUAUUUAAAGAUUAUUUACCAGCCUGAAUGCAAAAAGCCCAAGCCAGUGUUUCUAUAUAGUUAUUUUUGCUGAGAUACAGCUUUUAAAUGUAGUUAAACAGUUGCUAGGGGGCUAAAAUUGGUUGCUAGGGCAUGGAUAUGAAGUUGUUAUGUCACUACUUAUGGACUGCUUGAUAGGCCGAGUCAAAAGAGCCCUCUCCCAAGCCUCUAUGACUUUCUGAUCCAAAGAUAUGAUGUCAGAUAGUUUUUCCAAUGUUAAGUCAAUGGGAUAUUUUCGCACAUUUUCUUCGCCCGCUGUACGAUUAUCGUAAGUCCGAUUGCUUAGAAAAGUCAUAGCACACCUCUCCUCAAUAUCCCGCACGAUUUGACACCUCAUUCAUGGGUCUGUGACAAAAAAUGCGGGAGGAGUAGCGUGCCAAAGUUUUGUCAAGGCGAAUAGUAAUAGUAACACUAGAAGGUACAUUUCCUGAAGAAAAUGUGAGUGGUGCUUGCAGUGGCAAAACUCUGCGCCCUGUAGCCACCCAUGAUGCCUGUGUGAUGUUUUGAAGCAGAGAUAGAAGGAUUUAUAUUGCUACAUGGUUGCUAGGGUGCUCUAUAUGGUUGCUAUGGUGUGACUAUAUAGUUUAUGGGGUGAUAUUUAAAGAUUAUUUACCAGCCUGAAUGCAAAAAGCCCAAGCCAGUGUUUCUAUAUAGUUAUUUUUGCUGAGAUACAGCUUUUAAAUGUGGUUAAACAGUUGCUAGGGGGCUAAAAUUGGUUGCUAGGGCAUGGAUAUGAAGUUGUUAUGUCACUACUUAUGGACUGCUUGAUAGGCCGAGUCAAAAGAGUCCUCUCCCAAGCCUCUAUGACUUUCUGAUCCAAAGAUAUGAUGUCAGAUAGUUUUUCCUAUGUUAAGUCAAUGGGAUAUUUUCACACAUUUUCUUCGCCCGCUGUACGAUUAUCGUAAGUCCGAUUGCUUAGAAAAGUCAUAGCACACCUCUCCUCAAUAUCCCGCACGAUUUGACACCUCAUUCAUGGGUCUGUGACAAAAAAUGCGGGAGGAGUAGCGUGCCAAAGUUUUGUCAAGGCGAAUAGUAAUAGUAACACUAGAAGGUACAUUUCCUGAAGAAAAUGUGAGUGGUGCUUGCAGUGGCAAAACUCUGCGCCCUGUUGCUAGGGUGUUGCAAUGAGGUUGCUAUGGUGGUUACUAGGGUACCCUGGGUGGUUGCUAGGGUCCACAUGAUGGUUGCUAAGGUACUAAGGGUGGUUGCUAGGGUAAUCUGGGUGGUUGCUAGGGUCCCCGUAAUGGUUGCUAGGGCCGUUGCUAAGGUACCCAGGGUGGUUGCUAGGGUAAUCGGGAUGGUUGCUAGGGUGUUGCUAUGUGGUUGCUAGGGUACCCGGGGUGGUUGCUAGGGUGGUUGCUAGGGUCCCCAUGAUGGUUGCUAGGGCCAUUGCUAUGGUACCCAGGGUGGUUGCUAGGGUAAUCAGGGCGGUUGCUAGGGUGUUGCUAUGGGGUUGCUAGGGUACCCGGGGUGGUUGCUAGGGCGGUUGCUAGGGUCCCCAUGAUGGUUGCUAGGGCCGUUGCUAGGGUACCCAGGGUGGUUGCUAGGGUAAUUGGGGCGGUUGCUAGGGUGUUGCUAUGUGGUUGCUAGGGUACCCGGGGUGGUUGCUAGGGCGGUUGCUAGGGUCCCCAUGAUGGUUGCUAGGGCCGUUGCUAGGGUACCCAGGUUGGUUGCUAGGGUAAUCGGGGUGGUUGCUAGGGUGUUGCUAUGUGGUUGCUAGGGUACCCGGGGUGGUUGCUAGGGCGGUUGCUAGGGUCCCCAUGAUGGUUGCUAGGGCCGUUGCUAGGGUACCCAUGUUGGUUGCUAGGGUAAUCGGGGUGGUUGCUAGGGUGUUGCUAUGUGGUUGCUAGGGUACCCGGGGUGGUUGCUAGGGCGGUUGCUAGGGUCCCCAUGAUGGUUGCUAGGGCCGUUGCUAGGGUACCCAGGGUGGUUGCUAGGGUAAUCGGGGUGGUUGCUAAGGUGUUGCUAGGCGGUUGCUAGGGUACCCGGGGUGGUUGCUAGGCAGUUGCUAUGGUCUCCUGGGUGGUUGCUAUGAUGUUACUAGGUGGUUGGUAGUUGUCACAGAUGGUCACUAUGUAGUUAUUAUAGAGUUCUUAGCCCAUUUGAGCACUUAGCUAAUCACUAUUAGCAUGUAGCUAAUCACUGCUAGCAUGACUAGCAUGUUGGAAGUCCAGUGUGCUAGCAUGAGUCAAAAAAUCCAACCGCCAUGUCUGUACGAUGUUCUGAUGCAGAGAUAUAGGUCGUGCAAAACGGUUGCUAGGGUACUGUGUUUGGUUGCUAUGGAGUGGCUUGGCAGCUGCCAAUGAUGAAACUCCAAAGGCUGUUCGCCAAUAUAAACCAACCCCCAUGUCUCUACGAUGAUCUGAUGCAGAGAUAUAGAUCUUGCAAAACGGUUGCUAGGGUACUGUGUUUUGUUGCUAGGGAGUGGCCUGGCAACUGCCAAUGAUGAUACUCCAAAGUCUGCUUGCUAGUAUGAAUGAUAUAAACCAACCCCCAUGCCUUUAUGAUAUUCAGAUUUGAAGAUAUCUCUCUAUGCUUUUGGUCGCUAGGGAGGUCCAAAUGGUUGCUAGGGCGUGGCUAUGAAGUGUUGAAGGUGAUUCGUGAUUGGCCAUUUGCUACCCCGAGUCAAACGAGCCCACCCUCAUGUUUCUAUGACACUUCUAUCCAAAGUUAUUCAUUUU